CUAACAUAUAUAUUUAUAACAGUGAGCUCUAUAUAUAUAUCUGGAGUAAGAACUUCAGUCAUUCGGUCAAUGAGAAAAGUGAAGCCAAGAUGGCGGCCAUUGACGUCCAAUAGCUCUGAAGGUCGUAAACAGUUUUUAUACCAUUUUCCCAAGCUAAUUCCAGUUUUUUCUAAUGGACCGUAUCACUAAUCAAGUUUUCAGUUCAUAAAAUCACAAUAUUAUUCUUUAAAUCGAAGUCAAAAUACGAAAUUUCAACACACUCCUUGCCAAGAUGGCGGAAAUUGAAGGAGCUGUUGGACGUCAGUUCCAGUCCAUUUCUAUUGUUUUUGUAUGCGCGGUUAACACGAAACUGGCUUCACUUUGAGCAACCAAGUUCCUACUCCAG